rnacentral:tRNA from 1 species
ACCAGGAUGGUCAAGUGGUUAAGGUGUUGGAUUUAAGAACCAAUGGACUAGUACCCACGUGGAUUCAAACCCAACUCUCGGUA